CACAAUAAGACAUUAUAUUAUCCAACCAAGAAACAAACAUUUAUUGCAAAAUGGAGAGAUUUUUUACAAGGUUUGAUCAACUUCCAGAAGAUAUAAUCAUGGAGAUAUUAUCAAUUUUGCCUGUGAAAUCUAUACUGAAACUCAAAUCUGUGUGCAAAUACUGGUACACACUUAUUCAAUCUCCAAAUUUUAUUAUCAAACAUUUUUUCCACAAAAAAAAUUAUGAAAUUCCCUUUGUUCAUCUCUAUUUUUUUGACACUAAUCAAUUAUCUAUUUCAAUUGAUGAAUACCCUAUGCUUCAAGAUUUUUACUUGCACAAAUCCACUUCUUUAAAGCCAUUAAUUGGCCCUUUGAAUGGACUUUUUUUUGUGCAUAAUCUUGAUAAGAAUGAAAUGUCUAUGUGGAAUCCUGCAACUGAGGAAAUCAAGAAAAUAUCAGUACCAAGUCCACCUUUGUCUACUUGUUUUAGUGGUAUCUGUUGUUCGGACUCUUCAAAAAUAUUGCAGCACUCGUGUUAGAUCCUUCAGAAAGGCACUGUUUCUGGAGGUUCUGACACAUUUUUGAAGAGUUCGAGAGACAUAGAUUUGAGGUUAUGUUGUUCGGAUUCUUCAAAAGUGUUGUUGCACCGGUGUUGGUUCCUCCAGAAAUGUUCUGCUUCUGGAGGUUCCGACAUGCACCCGUUGACAUUAUGUUGCUCGGACUCUCCAGAAAUGUUAUUGCAAUCGUGUCAGAUCCUCAAGAAAUGUGCUUCUUCCUCUAGAGGGUCUGACACACACCCAUCGAUAUUUUUGAAGAGUCCAACCAACAAUGAUUUUGACGUAUGUUGCUCGGACUCUCAAGAAAUGUUGCCGCACCCGUGUCGAAUCCUCCAAAAAUGUGCUGCUUCUCAAAAUUCCAGCAUGCAUCCGUCGACAUUUUUGAAGAGUCCGAGCAACAAUUAUUUUGGGCCAUCUUGUUGGGACUCUACAAAAAUAUUGCCGUAUUCGUGUCGGAUUCUCCAAAAAUGUACUGCUUCUGGAGAUUCUGACAUGCACCCGUCGACAUUUUUGAAGAGUGUGAGGUCUUAUGCUCAUCAUUUUGGAUUUGGAAUGGACCCAUUGAGUAAAGAUUACAAAGUUGUAUGGAUAAGGGAUUAUUUUUGCAAGGAAGAAACAUUUACAAGAAGUGCAUCAGCUGUUGUUUCAGUUUAUUCACUAAGUACUGAUUCUUGGAGGCAUUUUGAAGACAAUACAUUUUUGAGUAGUCAUAUAAUCAUGUCAUAUUUUGAUUCAUAUCUUGACGGAUUUUAUUACUGGAAGAAAAUCGACGAAAAACGACGUUGCGAAAUUCUUGCAUUUGAUUUUAGAAAUGAAGAAUUUCAAGUGAUACAAACUCCAGAUGUGUUCAAUUCAAAUUUAGGAACACUUGGUUUGUAUGAUGGUUAUGUUUCUAUGUUGUUUCAUUAUCUUGUUGAAAGUAAGACAUGUAUUGAGAUUUGGGUGAUGGAAAAGUUUGGAUUUUGGACUAAAAAAUUGGUUCUUGAAUCCACUUUGAUUGUUAAAAGACCAAUUGGAUAUGGUGUCAAUGGGGAAAUUUUUGUUGAAACUAAAAGUUCAAAUCUUGAAAUGAUUGAUCCAAGAACACAAGAGAUUGUUGAGUGUGUUGGACCAAUAUUGGGAAAUGGCUACUCUUUGCAAGUUCUUGUUUACAAGAAAAGCUUAGUUUCCAUCAACAAAUUGACUACUUGUAACUUAAUCAAAGGUCUCGAGUUCGAGCAACUGGGAAUCUAAGUUAGUCAGAACGGUAAAGUGAGUAGCCGAUAUUGCGUGAGAAUCAAGAAUGAGAAAAACUUGCCAUGAUUGAUCCAAUAACACAAGUAAUUGUAGAUAUGGACCAUGGGAAAAUGGUUACUCUUUGCAAGUACUCUUGUUUACAAGAAGAGCUUAGCUUCCAUCAAGAAAUUGGUUAAUAGUAACUUAAUCAGAAGUCUCAAGUUUGAGUCAUGAGAAUGGAAAGAAUCCCGCAGGUUGUGAGUGCUUCCUCUUUUAGUGGAUGUUACACGAUGUGAAUUUGAAUGAGUCAGAACAGUAAAGUGAGUACCGAAAACCGGGUGAUCACUCCAAAAAAACUUGCAAUGAUUGAUCAAAGAAAACAAGAAACUAUUGACUGUCUUGGACCAUGGGAAAAUGGCUACUCUUUGCAAUUAGUUUUUGUUUACAAGAAGAGUUUAGUUUAGUGUACAUCAAGAAAUUGAGUUGUAGUAACUUGAAAACAUGUUAUGCACUUUUUCUUUAGCUGUCCUAAUAAUUUAUUUAUUAGCAAGAAGGCUAAAUUUCUAUAUAUUUCCUUG